rnacentral:rRNA from 1 species
GCAGUCGAGCGAGCUGAAUUCAAAGAUUCCUUCGGGAUGAUUUGUUGGACGCUAGCGGCGGAUGGGUGAGUAACACGUGGGCAAUCUGCCCUAAAGACUGGGAUACCACUUGGAAACAGGUGCUAAUACCGGAUAACAACAUGAAUCGCAUGAUUCAAGUUUGAAAGGCGGCGUAAGCUGUCACUUUAGGAUGAGCCCGCGGCGCAUUAGCUAGUUGGUGGGGUAAAGGCCUACCAAGGCAAUGAUGCGUAGCCGAGUUGAGAGACUGAUCGGCCACAUUGGGACUGAGACACGGCCCAAACUCCUACGGGAGGCAGCAGUAGGGAAUCUUCCACAAUGGACGCAAGUCUGAUGGAGCAACGCCGCGUGAGUGAAGAAGGUUUUCGGAUCGUAAAGCUCUGUUGUUGGUGAAGAAGGAUAGAGGCAGUAACUGGUCUUUAUUUGACGGUAAUCAACCAGAAAGUCACGGCUAACUACGUGCCAGCAGCCGCGGUAAUACGUAGGUGGCAAGCGUUGUCCGGAUUUAUUGGGCGUAAAGCGAGCGCAGGCGGAAUGAUAAGUCUGAUGUGAAAGCCCACGGCUCAACCGUGGAACUGCAUCGGAAACUGUCAUUCUUGAGUGCAGAAGAGGAGAGUGGAAUUCCAUGUGUAGCGGUGGAAUGCGUAGAUAUAUGGAAGAACACCAGUGGCGAAGGCGGCUCUCUGGUCUGCAACUGACGCUGAGGCUCGAAAGCAUGGGUAGCGAACA